AAGCCUGUGAGUCGUUGUAGCAAUACAAGGCAUACGGCUCAGUAACACGUAGUCAAUCUAACCUAUGGACGGGGAUAACCUCGGGAAACUGAGGAUAAAACCCGAUAGAUCAUAAUGCCUGGAACGGUUUAUGGUUUAAAUGAUUCGUCGCCGUAGGGUGGGACUGCGGCCUAUCAGCUUGUUGGCGAGGUAAUGGCCCACCAAGGCUAUUACAGGUACGGGCUCUGAGAGGAGAAGCCCGGAGAUGGGUACUGAGACACGGACCCAGGCCCUAUGGGGCGCAGCAGGCGAGAAACCUUUGCAAUGUGCGCAAGCACGACAAGGUUAAUCCGAGUGUUUCCUGUUAAAGGAAUCUUUUGUUAGUUCUAAAACCACUAAUGAAUAAGGGGUGGGCAAGUUCUGGUGUCAGCCGCCGCGGUAAAACCAGCACCUCAAGUGGUCAGGAUGAUUAUUGGGCCUAAAGCAUCCGUAGCCUGUUCUGUAAGUUUCCGGUUAAAUCCAUUAGCUCAACUAAUGGGCUGCCGAAAAUACUGCAGAACUAGGGAGUGGGAGAGGUAGACGGUACUCGGUAGGAAGGGGUAAAAUCCUUUGAUCUAUUGACGACCACCA
rnacentral:rRNA from 1 species